UACGUAGGGUGCAAGCAUUAAUCGGAAUUACUGGGCGUAAAGCGUGCGCAGGCGGUUGUGCAAGACAGAUGUGAAAUCCCCGGGCUCAACCUGGGAAUUGCAUUUGUGACUGCACGGCUAGAGUGUGUCAGGAGGGGGUAGAAUCCACGUGUAGCAGUGAAAUGCGUAGAGAUGUGGAGGAAUACCGAUGGCGAAGGCAGCCCCCUGGGAUAACACUGACGCUCAUGCACGAAAGCGUGGGGAGCAAACAGG
rnacentral:rRNA from 1 species